GAUGAUUCAUUUUCUCCUUUCAACUUCUUGAAAUUGGACGUGAAGGAUGUGGGCCCAGAAUCAUGUGGCCAGCCCACCCCCUGCUGGCCCUCACCAGCCUUGGAGCCUGUUCUAGGAAAGGCCUCCCAGCAUCUGGGACUAGAGAAUGGGCAGCCCCUCUGCCUCCUGGAGCUGAACUGGGGUGGAACUGAGUGUGUUCUUAGCUCUACCGGGAGGACAGCUGCCUGUUUCCUCCCCACCAGCCUCCUCCCCAUGUCCCCCUGCUGCUUGCUGGGUCCCGAAGCUGUCUAUCUACCUGGGAGACCGGGGACCACAGGCCUUAGGGGGAUACAGGGAGUCGCCUUCUGUUACCAACCCUCACCCUCCUCCAGGACACCACUAGGUGGUGCUGGAUGCUUGUUCUUUGGCCAGCCAAGGUUCAAGGCCAUUCUCCCCAUGGGAUCUUGAGGGACCAAGCGACUGGGAUUGGGUUUGGGAAGGGGUUUCACCCUGAUCAUUGCCCUAGCCAGGUUCCCAGGAGGCCUCACCACACUCCCUUUCCGGGCCAGGGCAAGGAUCUCGUGAUGCUGUCUGCUUGAGAGCCUGCCACCGUGUGUUGGGAGUGUGGGCCAGGCUGAGUGCAUAGGUGGCGGGGCGGUGAGCAUGGGCCUGGGUGUGUGUGAGCUCAGGCCUAGGUGCGCAGUGUGGAGAGGGGUGUUGUGGGGGAAGAGGUGUGGUUUCAACGUGUGUGUGUGCAGGGGGUGGGUUAGCGUGGGUUAGGGGAACAUGCGUGUGAGCGUGCUGGGGGGCGUGUGAGAUGCGUGGCUGCCGGUGAAUGUGUCCGCAGUUGAGAGGUUGGAGCAGGAUGAGGGAAUCCUGUCACCAUCAAUAAUCACUUGUGGAGCGCCAGCUCUGCCCAAGGCCCCACCCGGGCGGACAGCCAGGACCUCUCCAUGGCCAGGCUGCCUGUGUGCGUGUUCCCUGUCUGGUGCCCCUUUGCCGGCCCCCUGCAAACCUCACAGGGCCCCCACACAACAGUGCCCUCCAGAAGCAGUCCCUCGGGAACAGAGGAAGGAAAAUGGGGAUGUCCGGGGCUCUUUCCAGCCUCCUUUUCUCCUUGCCUUGGCAUGGCUGGCCUUCCCCUCCAAAACACCCAUUCCCCUGCCGCCAGCCCCUUUGCCAUAGCCUGACUUUGUGGAGGGGGAAGGGGCGAUUUGAGGGAGAAGGGGAGAAAGCUUAUGGCGGGGUCUGGUUUUUUCCUCCCUGAGGGUCUUACUGUUCCAGGGUGGCCUCAGGGCGGGCCAGGGCCACACUGUGCCUGCACUCUGGUAAAGGUGACCCCUGCCAUUUACCAGCAGCCCUGGCAUGUUUCUGCCCCCCAGGGAUGGAAUGGAGGGAGCUCCAGAAGUUUUCCGUCCCAAAGGCAGUCUCCGUGGUUGAAGCAGACUGGAUUUUUGCUCUGCCCCGACCCCUUGUCCCUCUUUGAGGGAGGGGAGCUAUGCUAGGACUCCAGCCUCAGGGACUCGGGUGGCCUGUGCUAGCUUCUUUUGAUACUGAGAACUGUUUUAAGGUGGGAGGGUGGCAAGGGACGUGCUUAAUAAAUCAAUUCUCAGC